GCCAAUGGGAGGGGCGGGGGCGGGCUCCGGGGAAGGAGGAGGACGAGGAGGAAGAUGGCGGCGCCUGGCCUCGCCUGAGGCCUGGUCUGUGUCUGUGAGGCGGGAAGGAAGAGGACGGAGAGGCCGAGAGAGAGAGAGAGAGGGAAAUGAAGACCCUAUGAAGUCACCACAGGCAUAAAAAGAAAAUAUCAAUAUCUAGUGGAGAUUGAGGAAUUUGGAAACCAAAGGGCAAUAAUGAAAGAAAUCCUGUGGGAAGAAGAAAUCCUCUCUAGGUGCCAAUCUUGUGGAACUCAAUUUUGAUCAGAAAGAAAAAGGGAACACUCACGUGUG
rnacentral:lncRNA from 1 species